GGACUACACGGGUAUCUAAUCCUGUUUGCUCCCCACGCUUUCGUGUCUUAGUGUCAGAAACCGUCCAGAUAGCCGCCUUCGCCACUGGUGUUCUUCCCAAUCUCUACGUAUUUCACCACUACACUGGGAAUUCCACUAUCCUCUCCGGUCCUCUAGUCGCCCAGUAUCGAGUGCAUUUCUUGAGUUGAGCUCAAGGCUUUCACACCCGACUAUGGCAACCACCUACACACGCUUUACGCCCAGUAAUUCCGAACAACGCUAGCCCCCUUCGUCUUACCGCGGCUGCUGGCAC
rnacentral:rRNA from 1 species